CGAAAGCUGACAUUUACUGUAAUCCCACAAUGUAUUAAGUACCAAUAGUAAAGAGUUCCUUUUACAAGUCAAAUCACAUAGUAGAAAAUAUUUACUGAUGGAUGGUAUUGUAUAAACCCUACAAUCCUAUGAUAUAAAAUCUUCAAUUAUCAUUCAACAUUAUUUAAUAAAAUUCAGCAGGAUUAUCGGUAUGUAUAUCUCCUACAAUCUACUUUCAUAAUUAUAUUUCAGUUUACCGGACAUGAUAUUUUCUAUAUCGAUAUGAAGUUUUAACUUCAAAAAUAACCCUGUAUUGUAUAUAUGGGUAUAUCCCUCUAACUAUUUUUAGAAUCGGUAGGACAACAAAGAAGUGCCUUUAAGCAAAAUAGUCCCUAUACUUGCAGAGUGUAUAUACAUUUAUUGUGACAUUUUAAAUCAGAAUGCUUGACACAUGUCAGAAAAGAGGAUUUGCAAUUUUUAAAACAAGUUUCAAAAUUGAAUUAUCCUUUGAAGAAAAAAAUUGAAAUUGUUUGAUGUACACCCUUUCCAAAACUGAGAAAUUCCCUACUUUUACUUUCAUUUUCAGAGUUUUUCAAUACAGACGCAUUUUGCCGGAAAACGAAUCUGACUUCAAACCACGAAAUUUUAACAGGAAAGAGACAAUUUGAUGAGCUUUCAUUCAAGAGGUCUCUCGUUGCUGAACGAAAAUUAGGGCCGGAGCUAUGAACCCUAACGUUAACAUUACCGCCUAUGGAAAAUGCAUUAGUGGACUAUACCCAUAUUGAGCUCCAUGCUGUGCGAUCAUUUCAAGCGAGCAAAAGUGAAAGUAGAAAAGCAGAAAGUUUCCGGUGAGGAAAAAUACUUCAUUCUAGCAGUGUCCAGCUAUCUAAGAUUAGUUUGCAUUGUAAGGGAAUUGUAUUAGUGUCCGAUAACAUGUAAAUUGAAAUGGAAGUCUUCUUCAAAGAAUAAAACACAACAAUGAGCCACACUUGAUAGUUUUUCAAUACAGACGCAUUUUGCCGGAAAACGAAUCAGACUUCAAACCACGAAAUUUUAACAGGAAAGAGACAAUUUGAUGAGCUUUCAUUCAAGAGGUCUCUCGUUGCUGAACGAAAAUUAGGGCCGGAGCUAUGAACCCUAACGUUAACAUUACCGCCUAUGGAAAAUGCAUUAGUGGACUAUACCUAACUUUUAAAAACUUUCUGAACAGUUUUUGAAAAUGUAAAACAUGUUUAAUUACCUGUUGCAAACUUCAUAUAUUAAACAUUCAACAGUCAUAAAUUCUAUGUUGAACAUAUACAUGUAUCAUGAAAAAGAGCUUACAGCAAAUUACUGAAUACCAGUAGAGUUUUCAAUACUUUUUCGGAAUGCUCAAUAGCAUAUUUAAUUUGGUCAGCGUGGUAUCACAUUGGGUUUAAAACUAGGUUUCAAUUCACUGCUAAAAAAUGUGAUGUCUACGGGGGGAUUUGUAUUGCAUCAAACCCUGAUGAUAACGUUGAAAAAUUGUACAAGGUAUUCCGAAUGACCUCUGAAUGGAGAAAAGAUGAACAUGUAUUUCCCAUUAUAAAUCUUCGUAAGAAAUCUGUUUUCAUUCCUGUGAAUAUUUCCAAGCAUACAAGGAUAAUGUGUUAAUGGAGUUAUCUUGGAUAUUGUCCCUUUUAUCUAUUUCAAUUGCACUUCAUUCACAGGUAUGUAUAUUUUUUAUUAAAAAUUGUCUAAAUGUGCUGCAUAAAUAUCUUGGGACAGACUAUA